rnacentral:rRNA from 1 species
AAUUCGAAGCAACGCGAAGAACCUUUACCAGGUCUUGACAUCCCGAUGCUAUUUCUAGAGAUAGAAAGUUACUUCGGUACAUCGGUGACAGGUGGUGCAUGGUUGUCGUCAGCUCGUGUCGUGAGAUGUUGGGUUAAGUCCCGCAACGAGCGCAACCCCUAUUGUUAGUUGCCAUCAUUCAGUUGGGCACUCUAGCGAGACUGCCGGUAAUAAACCGGAGGAAGGUGGGAUGACGUCAAUCAUCAUGCCCCUUAUGACCUGGGCUACACACGUGCUACAAUGGUUGGUACAACGAGUUGCGAGUCGGUGACGGCGAGCUAAUCUCUUAAAGCCAAUCUCAGUUCGGAUUGUAGGCUGCAACUCGCCUACAUGAAGUCGGAAUCGCUAGUAAUCGCGGAUCAGCACGCCGCGGUGAAUACGUUCCCGGGCCUU